rnacentral:rRNA from 1 species
GACGAACGCUGGCGGCGUGCUUAACACAUGCAAGUCGAACGGACAGGCCCUGCGUUUGCGGGGUGCUCGAGAGGCGAACGGGGGAGUAACACGUGAGUAACCUGCCCCUGACAUAGGGAUAACUUUACGAGACUGGGGCUAAUACCGGAUAGGAUCUCCUGCUGCAUGGGGGGGGAUGGUAAGUUGCGGCUGUUGGGGAUGGACUCGCGGCUUAUCAGCUUGUUGGUGGGGUAGUGGCUGACCAAGGCUUUGAGGGGUAGCCGGCCUGGGAGGGGUGCCGGGCUCACUGCGCCUGCGAUACGCCCCAGCCUGGUAUCGGACGCAGCGGGGGAGAGUCUGACACAGUAGGGGCGCGUCAGUUGUGAAUGUGCCGGGUGCGGGAAGCCGUGCUUCGGGUUGUGAACAAAUGUCGAAUGUGCCGUGGAGUUAGUGACGGUACCGGAUCAAGAAGCCCCGGCUAACUACGUG